UAGAGUUUGAUCCUGGCUCAGGAUGAACGCUAGCUACAGGCUUAACACAUGCAAGUCGAGGGGAAACGAUAUUGGAAGCUUGCUUCCGAUAGGCGUCGACCGGCGCACGGGUGAGUAACGCGUAUCCAACCUGCCCAUCACUUGGGAAUAACCUUGCGAAAGUAAGACUAAUGCCCAAUGACAUUUAUAGAAGGUAUCUGAAAUGAAUUAAAGAUUUAUCGGUGAUGGAUGGGGAUGCGUCUGAUUAGCUUGUUGGCGGGGUAACGGCCCACCAAGGCGACGAUCAGUAGGGGUUCUGAGAAGAAGGUCCCCCACAUUGGGACUGAGACACGGUCCAAACUCCUACGGGAGGCAGCAGUGAGGAAUAUUGGUCAAUGGGCGAGAGCCUGAACCAGCCAAGUAGCGUGCAGGAUGACGGCCCUAUGGGUUGUAAACUGCUUUUAUAGGGGAAUAAAGUGAGCCACGUGUGGUUUUUUGCAUGUACCCUAUGAAUAAGGACCGGCUAAUUCCGUGCCAGCAGCCGCGGUAAUACGGAAGGUCCGGGCGUUAUCCGGAUUUAUUGGGUUUAAAGGGAGCGUAGGCCGGAGAUUAAGCGUGUUGUGAAAUGUAGAUGCUCAACAUCUGCACUGCAGCGCGAACUGGUUUCCUUGAGUACGCAUAAAGUGGGCGGAAUUCGUGGUGUAGCGGUGAAAUGCUUAGAUAUCACGAAGAACUCCGAUUGCGAAGGCAGCUCACUGGGGCGCAACUGACGCUGAAGCUCGAAAGCGCGGGUAUCGAACAGGAUUAGAUACCCUGGUAGUCCGCACGGUAAACGAU
rnacentral:rRNA from 1 species